AGUUUUGCACAGUGGCAGUAUUGUAGCUAAUGAGGUUUACCUGAAGCGCGAUUAUUGCCAUUUAAAUAAAAACCUUUUGAGCAGCGCAUGAACAAGAAUAGGUUCAGAGGAGCUGCCUGCUCUGAGUUUGGACUUGGCUCAAGGUA